UGGUCCACUGAUGAUAAUUGGUGGCUUUUGAAUCAUAUGGAAUGAAUACCUCAUUUCUAGAACCCUGAGUUCCAA